ensembl:ncRNA ZK1236.12 ncRNA
GCACCUCCAUCCAAAUCUUCAACAUCUUCUCCAUCAUUCAUCAUAUGAUUCACGAAACCGUCUUCUUGUUCAUCACGGUUCACUCGACGACGAGCAUUUCGACGCAUUCCACCGGCAACUAUAAAUUUAAUUAAAUUUCAGAAUUUAAAGAGUACUCUGGUUUCAAACUCUGCGGAAUUUUCAUCGAUUUUUUCAUUUUUUACUAUUGUUUGUUGAAAUUGAUGGGUUUUUACUAACAAAAAACUAUAAAAAUGUUCCACAACA